CGGGACAUAGCGUAGCUUGGUAUCGCGCCUGGUUCGGGACCAGGAGGGCGAGGGUUCAAAUCCCUCUGUUCCGA
rnacentral:tRNA from 1 species